rfam:Brachypodium distachyon strain Bd21 chromosome 3, whole genome shotgun sequence.
GUGGUACUCCCUCCGUCCAACAAAGGAUGUCUCAACUUUGACUAAAUUUGAAUGCAUCUAUACACUAAGUAAUGUCUAGAUACAUCCAAAUUUUGACAAACUUGAGACAUCUUUUGUUGGACGGAGGGAGUAUUAG